AUGUGUCUUGGCACGGACUCCACUUUCUUGGCCUUGUGUGUGUCCCUGGCCUCCCUUUGUCCCGCUCCGGGCCUUUCUAGACUUUGGAAAGCCGGCUGUGGGGAAGGGGAAGCUGGAAUCCAGGGGCAGACCGGCCCCAGUCCCCCACCCCCGGGUCUCUUCUGCUCCAGGAAGGGUGCUGGGGGUUCCCGCCCGUGGGAGAGGCUGGGAAGCCGGCGAGGCCUUUGGGAGACGGUUUGCAGGCCCAGGCUGGCGAGGGAGCCGAGGGGCUCGGGGCGCGUCCGUCCCCGUGCAGCGCGGCGGCUGGCAGUGCUGCCCUCCGGCGGGUCCCGGAGAGCCGGGCGCCCGCGGCCGUGCAGACGGCUGUGCUGCUGCGGGGCUCGCUCCCAGGCCUGGCGCGGGGCCACCGCCGCCGCCGCCGCCGCCCCCCUCCCGGCGCGCGGGCUGCGCUCCAGUCGCGGCCACGGGGUAGCGCUCGGCCCCCCUCUCCGCGUCUCCGCCUCCGCCGCGCUCGUCCCCGGCUCACGCUGCCCCCGCAGCUCCAGCUCGGCGCAGGCAGAAGCGGCUCUCAGGACGCCGAGCCCGCGGGAAGCGGCGGGCGGCGGGCUCGGCGAGCGGCGGCAGCGCGGCUCCUCCAGGCCGACCGUGAGGCGAACGUGGCGGGCUCCGCGCCCCCGGAGCCGGAGCUGCCUGCCGGGCUCUCCGUGCGUCUCGCCGAGAGCGCCGGUCCGGGUGCGGUGGAGGGCAGAGCGGCCGAUCUUCAUCCUUGGCCGGGCGGGAGGCUGCGCGCCCGGGCGCCGGCGACAGCCGGGGCUGCCCAGCCCAGCAGCCGCCCCCGCCGCCCAGCCGCCGGCGCGGACAUGGGCGCGCGGAGCUGCGCGCCGAGCCGCGGGACCCGCAAAGUUUGCUAGGCGGCUGGGCGCGGAGCCGAGGGCGCGCCUGGCCCCGGCAUCCCCGGAGCGGACAGCGAGCGUCCGGAUUCGGCGCGAGGGCUGUGCAGCCGAGAGGAGGCGGCUUGGCCCCGCCAGAUGUCGCCUGCAAAGUUCGAGAAGAAAACUUCAGCUCCAGGGAGACCCGGUCCGUUAUGCUAACUGCGCCCCCCGCCACUGGCACCUCUGA
rnacentral:lncRNA from 1 species